rfam:Picea glauca, whole genome shotgun sequence.
UCUGGAAUAGCUCAGUUGGUUAGAACGUUUUGCUGUUAACCACAAUGUCGGAGGUUCAAGCCCUCCUUCUAGCG